UUUUCUUUGAAAAAUUAUUUGAAAAUUACUAAAAUAAGCACAGCAUACUUCAUUUUCAGACUUCUCAUGGCAAGAGCCAUGCUAGCAUAAUUUACUAGAGGCCCUAAAAAUAAAAGAUUUAUUUUUGAAUGGUAAGAAAGAAUCAGUCAUUAGUUGUAGUUUCUGUCACAAGCCUGGGCAGCAAUACCACUAAAUAGUACAGAGUCACUUUUUUUUACACUGACUAAUAUUACUUGGGCAUUAAUAAGAAAAUUCUGCCUGUUGAGAGAUGAAGUUAUAAUCUUUCAAAUGAAACCAAGCUAAUAACUAUUCCCCUGACAAGACAAAUCUGCAGGCACUAACUAAGUUAGUGGUUAUUAUGCUUCACACUUAAUCUUGAAUAUGAUAGAUAGGGAGUGGAACUCAGGGCAAUAUUGAACAGCAGAAGAAACCAUUCCUCUAAUGUGAUAACUAACUUGUGACAACGCCUUUAACAUCUUUUUUUGUAUUCAAAACAAAGCAAGUUGAAGUAAUGUAGUCCUUUUGAAAGUGCUAAAUGUAAGAUUUGCACAGCUUUUGUCAUGAUGAGAACUUCUAAGCCCAGACACCUGCAUCAAGCAGGUUCCCAGGGGGAACCCUAGUGCGGAAGAAGGAAGUCAGCCAGUGCAUCACCAUGCUGCAGCAAGAGCAGGUCUGCAUCAGCUCGGGGCACUCACAGGGAUGAUCCCUGUUUGGUGGAGACAUCACCUGUUCCUGUCACACAAGGAUAUGAGGUGCUUCACAGACAGAGCAUCUGUAUGUGCACCAGUGUCAGCAGAUUGCCAUCUUGUUUUGUGCUGGUGGUCAGUGUUUGUGGAUCACCACUCUGCUAGAGGUCCAACAGAGCUGUCCAAGCUGCCAGGAGGACAGCAACCCAGCCCCUCCCACUGCUUCUAGACCAGCUCCUUUCAACAUCUGAUUUCCAACAGAAAUGUGCCACAGCAUGAGACUUCUGCUGUGGGUGGCACAAAACCCACAAGCAUGUCUCUGUGCCACAAGGUUUCAUCCCUAGCCUGUGCCAUCCCUACAGCAGCUGUAAGCCACUCUCAGAUCUAUGCUCAACAACAAGGGCUUGUAUGGUGCUGACUGAAUGCAUGUUUUUAGUUCUUGGUGGUUUUCUAGAGAGUAUAGAAGUUAGUUUUGUUCCAAUUUGAAAGCAGAUCAAAGAUACUCAGUAUCUCCAUUUCUCUUGAGGAUGAGGUUUCUGGAAUGGCUGACCAUUGGGGAGGUACACUGCGUGGAGCACAGCAGCCAAAAAGGUGUUUGUGCACACAGACGUGAAUGGAGAGCAGAUCAUAAAGGACAACGUGGAUAACAACAGACACAGAUGCUUGGUCAUUGAAGAGGGUGACAUGAUGGCACAGUGGCACCUUCAGUGGCACCUUUCCAUCCUUUUGUGCUUUUAUUUGUUUGUCUGGGCAAAUGUCUUAAAAAACUUUUAAAAAAAAGAGUUGUUUAAUGUCAAAUAUAAAUUGUGACUUAUUUUAAACAAUGUGUGUGUUUUAACCAGCUCUUUGACAUUAAAAAGCAUAUUUUGUCUCACAACCUGCUUAAAGCAAAACAGAAAGCUAAGCUACAGCUCCUUACAAACAAUGAAAGCAAUAAAUACAUAAAUUACUGUUUUAUGUGAGACAAUAUACUAAUGUUAACUGAAGAAAUGGAAUUAGAAAACAAACUCCCUCUGGGAACAAUUCUCACACCCCUGUUUUAGAAGGAAGCAGAGUUUACUCAUAAAUAAUUUAAUGCAUUUACUCCUGCUAGACUGGACUGACAGGUCUUCCAUAUACUAAAGCUUUGCUUCUCUGAUAAUUGCAAACUUUUUGAACUCAGAAAGUUGUCAACUGCAAAGGUCUGUACAAUCACUGAAGGACUAUCUAGGAACAUAAAGAUGUGCUCUGUAAGACAGUAGUACUGAAUUUAGCCAUCAUGCCAAUCACCAUUUAAUAAUAAUAUUAUUUCAGACCUACUUCUGUUUAUGAGCAUGUAAAUAAUAUCUUCUUCAGAGUAAUACAACAAUUCCUCAGCAACUUAAACAGUUGCCUACAUGAAUAAGCAGUAGAAAGGAAAAGACACAUUAUUACUUGGGCUUGUUUAAUGCAGUACAGCCACUAGAAUAAAAAAGAAAACAAGGCAGCUGAGUCUGUAAGCACAGCAUGAUCUGUGCUUGCAGACUCAGCUGUACAGCAGUACAAAAGAACCAGAACUGAAAAAGAACUUCAUGAAGUGUGUCCCCUGUUACCUGCCUCAGAAAGCAACCUCAUGAAAUACUGGACUUUGUUAUUAGAUUGGUUAGCAUUUCCUCUUCAUUUCUAAUUUUAAUGUCGUGUUUUUAUCUACUUCAUUCACAGUGCUGCUAUAUCUUCUCUUAAUUCACAGAAACAGAUUCAGAGUUCAUCAAACCUAUUUUCCACACUAAGACUACAGAGCCAGUAUAAUUGGUGGCUUCUUCUAACUCUCAUACUUUUGACUUAAUCUUUCUUUAUUAAUCACUCAAAUGCAUCUUCAUGAGCAUACUAUGAACCAUCUAUCCCUAACUUCAACUUUUAUGUAGCUUUUCUUUUCGCAGAUGACUCUCAGGCCUCAUAGCUGGCUGGAGAUUUCUUAAGACUCAAGUGGAAGAGAGCUCGGAAGCUGGUCGCUUGACUCAGAAACUAACAGAUUUACAGGAAACUGACCAGCAGUGUUGGUGCAGGAGGCCCCGGACUUGCAAAAUCCUCAGUCAGUAGUCAUGUGCUACAUUCCUCUGAAGACAGGGAGAAAAGCACAAACCUCAGCACCAUCAUCUCAGGAUCUGCCUCUGGAAGAACAGCAGCAGCCCAGCAGCUGGUAGCCCCCACCUUUCACAUGUAUAAAUGAGCAAUGUUUGAACAUGCUCCUGAGCCACGUUACAGCCACGACCCCAAAGCACCUGGGGCACACACACUUGAGUACAAUUGCAGUGUUUUAAAACAUAUUUAAGUAUGAAGAGCAAAAGGUCGAUAAAUUGCUUCUGGACACUCAUCUCAAGCGUGUGAUGCCAGCUCAGCAGCUGUCACCAUUUUCAAGUUGCAGUGUCUUUAUCUCUGGUGCCCCACCCCAACAGGAUUUGCACACAACCUUUCCGAGGGGAGGAACAGAUACUUGCACUCAGGAGUGCUCAGGGUUGUAAGGCCUAUGCAGCACCCAACGUCAAAGAAAACAGCAACAGCAUGUUGAAUAACUGGUUUGAUGUGUAUGCUCAUCACCUUCUAUUGUACACUUGUUUCCUAGAAGUGCCCUGAAACAGGCACAUUUAUGGUGUCCUGCUGAUAUGAACAUUCUUACAUUUGUCAAAUACAGAACAUUGGUGCCACUAGUUUUUUAGCUUGUGUCUGAUUUCACUGAAUAGUCAGACUUGAAUUGGAUAGAGAAUUGGUUAGACUUAGUGUCAUUUAUGUUUUUUUUUUUUUUUGUAGGAUCUAUGAGAUACAAAAGCACUGAGAGACUUUUCAUCUCACAAAAAAAAAGCUGAUCAGGCUUUCACAGAGGGCACUGUGAUGUGCCUGUCUGAUAUGCAUGACCUUGUGUUAGAGAGACUUGUGAAAGUGUUUGUGCUGCUAUUUACUGGGUAUCAAAUUAUAUAUAUGUGCUUAUUAAGAGAAUAACAUGUGAGUUUGCCUAUAAUCAUUGUAGCUAAUAUUGUUAUGCCUCAAACAAAGAGUAAAUGGAAAUCUUUCUCAAUACA